AAAAACUUUAGGUGGGGGACUGAGACAGGUGGGAAUGAGGGAAUCCAAUGUGCUGGUGCUCUUGUAGCUUUAAAAGAAAACGUUGGAAAGCUUGGAAAUGAUCACAAGAAUGCCAAGACUUUAGCUUGGAAAUGAUCACUUUAUUCGUUCAAAAAAUGUGAAACAAGCAAUUGUUGAAGAUGCGAAACAAAUAAAAUUCUAGCUUAUAUAUCUGCCUUGAAGAAGCUCUGCAAUCAUCCAAAGCUGAUUUAUGAUACAAUGAAAAUGUUCUCCGGAAGAUCUGGAUCUUGUACUGGUGGUGAUGGAUCUUGGACUGGUGGAUGAUGACCUGGUUGAAGUGUCAUGAAAGAUGCAAGUCUUGGCCUGUUUGUUGGCCCAUCUUUGUAAGAGAACAAAUGAUCGAAUUGUAUUGGUUUCAAAUUAUACUCAGACACCAGACAAAAGUUGCAGGAUGGGUCCACAUCAACUAGCAUAAUACAAAAGUUGGUCAACUGCUUCAAUGAUCCAUCAAAGGAUGAGUUUGCAUUUCUUUUCAGCAGCAAAGCUGGUGGUUGUGACCUCAACUUGAUAGGUUGAAAUAGACUUGUUCCGUUUGACCUGAUUGGAAUCCUACAAAUGACAAACAGGCUGCUGCAAGAGUCUAAAGGGAUGGGCAGAAGAAGAGAGUAUACGUCUAUAGGUUUUUGAUAUUAAACAUUGAUAUUUGAUGUUUUUGGAUGUUUUGUUAAAAUUUGGUACUUGAUUUUGGUAUUUUAAUAUUAGUGUUUGUUUUGGAUUGUAUAAUUAUUUGAUGUUUUUGGUAUUUUA